rnacentral:rRNA from 3 species
UUCGCAAUGCCCGAAAGGGUGACGAAGCGACGCCGCGUGGGUGAGGAAGGCCUUCGGGUUGUAAAGCCCUGUCAGGAGUUAAGAAAUGUAAGUGUGCUAAUAUCGCAUUUACUUGACGAAGGCUCCAAAGGAAGUCACGGCUAACUCUGUGCCAGCGGCCGCGGUAAUACAGAGGUGGCAAGCGUUGUUCGGAAUUAUUGGGCGUAAAGAGCACGUAGGUGGGUUUGUAAGUCAGAUGUGAAAGCCUCCUGUUCAACGGGAGAAUUGCAUCUGAAACUACUGAUCUUGAGUAUAGGAGGGGAGAAUGGAACUUCUGGUGGAGCGGUGAAAUGCGUAGAUAUCAGAAGGAACGCCGGCGGCGAAAGCGAUUCUCUGGCCUAUUACUGACACUCAGUGUGCGAAAGCUAGGGGAGCAAACGGGAUUAGAUACCCCGGUAGUCCUAGCCGUAAACGAUGGGCACUAAGUAGAGGGGUUUU